CCUACGGGCGGCUGCAGUGAGGAAUAUUGGUCAAUGGGCGCGAGCCUGAACCAGCCAAGUAGCGUGAAGGAUGACUGCCCUACGGGUUGUAAACUUCUUUUGUAAAGGAAUAAAGUGAGGCACGUUUGCCCUUUUGUAUGUGCUUUAUGAAUCAGGAUCGGCUAACUCCGUGCCAGCAGCCGCGGUAAUUCGGAGGAUACGAGCGUUAUCCGGAUUUAUUGGGGUUAAAGGGAGCGUAGAUGGGUUGUUAAGUCAGUUGUGAAAGUCUGCGGCUCAACCGUAAGAUUGCAAUUGAUACUGGCAGUCUUGAGUACAGUUGAGGUAGGCGGAAUUCGUGGUGUAGCAGUGAAAUGCGUAGAUAUCGAGAGGAACACUCGUGGCGAAGGCGGGUUCCUGGACAUUAACUGACGCUGAGGCACGAAGGCCAGGGGAGCGAAAGGGAUUAGAUACCCCAGUAGUC
rnacentral:rRNA from 1 species